GUGCUUGCUCCAGCAGCACGCAUACUAAAAUUGGAACAAUAAAGAAAUUAGCAUGGGCUGUGCAGGAGGAUGACACACAAAUUCGUGAAGUGUUCCACAAUUAA
ensembl:snRNA U6 U6 spliceosomal RNA